rnacentral:lncRNA from 1 species
AUGCCAACUUUUGCGUUUAUAAUCAUUUAGCUUAUUUAAAAAUAAGAGAGACAGUAACACCCUCGUAACAAAUUUUUUUAGAUGAUAUGAUCAAGUACAACAUGGAUUAUUAUAAUAUUCUUUCUGUAUAAUAUCAUCGUCUAAUGUUUUAUUUACAAAACCCAACUGAUUGGAUCAAUUAGGCCCGCAACAGCUCAAAUACACGACCUUUCUGAGCGAUUCCUCAGAUUGCUUCAUUAAUUCUUUUUCUUGCUUGAAUUUAUUCGAGGCGACAGAAGACUGGGAAGAGAGCUUCUUGGCCUGACGGUAUGAUCUAAGAUUGUUCUUAGAUCAACCUGAAAGUGAAAUUCCAUCUGCAGAAACCCUAGUCUUUCAAAGCCUCUACAGCUCCCAUACUGGCUGCCACAAUCCAUGCGCUGCCUGUUGAACUCAUUUUCAAGAAUCUGAUCGUUCUAUUCUUCAAGCACAACUUGAAUACUUGAUGAUAUAUUUUGGGUGGAGAUUUUGAGCUUUGAGAAAUCUUUUUGUUCUAUUGAUUGUUUGUUGUAGCAUUGUGAA